CGGAGGCUUAACACAUGCAAGUCGAGGGGUAACGAUGGUGCUUGCACCAGGCGACGACCGGCGAACGGGUGAGUAACGCGUAUGCAACCUACCCAUAACUUGAGGAUAGCCCGGAGAAAUUCGGAUUAAUAUUCAAUAAUAUUUCUUAGAGGCAUCUCUUUGAUCUUAAAGCUUCGGCGGUUAUGGAUGGGCAUGCGUGCCAUUAGUUUGUUGGUGAGGUAACGGCUCACCAAGUUGGCUAUGAUGGCUAGGGGGUCUUAAAGGAUGGUCCCCCACACUGGUACUGAGACACGGACCAGACUCCUACGGGAGGCAGCAGUGAGGAAUAUUGGUCAAUGGGCGAAAGCCUGAACCAGCCAUACCGCGUGCAGGAUGACGGCCCUAUGGGUUGUAAACUGCUUUUAUACGAGAAGAAACCUCUCUACGUGUAGAGAGCUGACGGUAUCGUAAGAAUAAGCAUCGGCUAACUCCGUGCCAGCAGCCGCGGUAAUACGGAGGAUGCAAGCGUUAUCCGGAUUUAUUAGGUUUAAAGGGUGCGCAGGCGGAAAUAUAAGUCAGUGGUGAAAUCCUACAGCUCAACUGACGAACUGCCAUUGAUACUGUUAGUCUUGAAUUCAGUUGCUGUAGGCGGAAUGUAUCAUGUAGCGGUGAAAUGCAUAGAUAUGAUACAGAACACCGAUUGCGAAGGCAGCUUACAAAACUGAUAUUGACGCUGAUGUACGAAAGCGUGGGUAGCGAACAGGAUUAGAUACCCUGGUAGUCCACGCCGUAAACGAUGAUUACUCGUUGUGUGCGAUACACUGCACGUGACCGAGCGAAAGCAUUAAGUAAUCCACCUGGGGAGUACGUUCGCAAGAAUGAAACUCAAAGGAAUUGACGGGGGCCCGCACAAGCGGAGGAACAUGUGGUUUAAUUCGAUGAUACGCGAGGAACCUUACCUGGGCUUAAAUGUAGCGUGACCACUCGAAAGGGUAUUUCUCUUCGGAGCAGGUUACAAGGUGCUGCAUGGCUGUCGUCAGCUCGUGCCGUGAGGUGUCGGGUUAAGUCCCAUAACGAGCGCAACCCCUAUUGUUAGUUGCUAACAGGUCAAGCUGAGGACUCUAGCGAGACUGCCACCGUAAGGUGAGAGGAAGGUGGGGAUGACGUCAAGUCAGCACGGCCCUUACGUCCAGGGCUACACACGUGUUACAAUGGUCGGUACAGAGAGCAGCUACUUGGUGACAAGAUGCCAAUCUUCAAAGCCGGUCUUAGUUCGGAUCGAAGUCUGCAACUCGACUUCGUGAAGUUGGAUUCGCUAGUAAUCGCAUAUCAGCCACGAUGCGGUGAAUACGUUCCCGGGCCUUGUACCACCGCCCGUCAAGCCAUGGAAGCUGAGGGUACCUGAAGUCUGUAACCG
rnacentral:rRNA from 1 species